GGAGGGUUCGCAUAGCGGUCUAGUGCGCACGCUUGGAAAGCGUGUGUGGGGCAACCCACCGAGGGUUCGAAUCCCUCACCCUCCGCCA
rnacentral:tRNA from 1 species